ACAGAUAGUACUGCCUCCCUGUCUCUCCCUGUAAAUGAUGUAGGUACAGAUAGUACUGCCUCCCUGUCUCUCCCUGUAAAUGAUGUAGGUACAGGUAGUACUGCCUCCCCCUGUACAUUAUGUAGGUACAGAUAGUACUGCCUCCCUGUCUCUCCCUGUAAAUUAUGUAGGUACAUAUACUACUGCCUCCGUCUCUUCCUGUAAAUUAUGUAAGUACAGAUAGUACUGCCUCCCUGUAAAUGAUGUAGGUACAGAUAGUACUGCCUCCCUGUCUCUCUCUGUAAAUGUUGUAGGUACAGGUAGUACUGCCUCCCUGUCUCUCUCUGUAAAUGUUGUAGGUACAGGUAGUACU